UCGGAGUCCGGCUUCUUCCCGGACUCCAACGAGCACAAGGAGUCGAGGGCUCGCCGCUAGAUUCAUCUUAUAAGAGAAACCCCUCUCUCCCCUCUAGCCAUCCUGCCCAAAUCCUCCGAUCAAUCGUCGGCGAAUCCAUGCGAUCUCCUUUGAUGUUUCCGUCAAGCGAACUAGCGAACCACCGCCCAUUCUCGUCGGAAAAGUGGGCCGAGAAGACUUUGUCGGAGACGUGGUAUGGCCUUUAAAUCCUCUUCCCUCUCCUCCAUGGAUUCUAUGGUCGCGCUUGUCGGCCAGUUUUGAGCCAGUAGAUGGCCGGAUCUUUUUGAACAGGGUGUCCCCUAUUUUUUUUCCCUCCUUCUUCUCAUGCGACCAUCCACCACCAUUGGAGGCCGUGGUCGCUGUUGCCGCUGUUGCCGGAGGUGGCCAACAUGGGGGGUGGCUGACCGUGGCGCUCUCUCUCUCUUAUGUUUCUUUCUCUUUAUCAUUUUUUCUCUCUCUAGAUAUUUUAUGAGAGCCCAAUUAUCUAGAUAAACCUAGGUUGCCCAGGUGGACCCCACGAGGGGUCUUGGGCUGGCAUUGUACGAACAAAAGUUCAAGCAGGGAAUGUUAAAAUUUAAUAUCAUCCUUUUCAUAAUUUUAUACCAUUAAUUAUUGUUAUUGUGGUCACUUUAAUAGCAAAGCCUAACUAGGCGGGACAAUUCUCAAGACAGAAAGGUGUUGCGCAUGCCACUUUGCUCUCGAGUUUAUAGAUUGAAAAGAUGAUCGGUGUACCUGUUGUUUGAGUCUGUCACAGGUAGAAAAAAAAGUUCUG
rnacentral:lncRNA from 1 species